rnacentral:tRNA from 1 species
GAGGGUAUAGCUCAGUGGUAGAGUGCAUGCUUAGUAUCUAUGAGGUCCUGGGUUCAAUCCCGAUUACCUCC